CAUAGUUACCAAAUAAAAAAUUGUUUAGUGUCAAAAUUUACUGUGUAAAGAAAAAAAAUUUGUCAAAGUGAAAUUGUAAAUUCAUUUGUUUUAUUUGUGUAUAUGUGUAUAAAUCUAUUAUUUUAAUUCAAAAUGGAAGUUGACCCAUGCAAUAAUCAGUUUGUGGAGCAGGCGGAUAACAAGCUGACCUCUAACGAUGAAUGUGAACGUAUGGAUACAGCUGUACACCCGCAGGAAAAUAAGGAAUUGAACAUAGCCCUGACUAUCAAUCCCAAGGCCGAUGAAUUUGAGAAUCCUCCAUGUUACCUUCCACAACCGGGUGAUGAGCUUCCUUCUAAAGAUCUGCUCAAACCGAUGGGUCCCAUUGGCCCAUGGGCAACAGGAAAAGUGGAUUGGAGUCCUAUGGCGGGUUUAACGGGUACGCGACCGGUUGUAGACCGUUAUUCAAUAACACGCUUCAGUCCCAAUGAGUGGCGCGCAAAAAACAAGGAGACGUUGCAAAAAACCAAUGAUAUUUUCGACAAGGCUAUCAAAAACCAGUACAGCUCGAAAACGGCAUUUAUGCGUAUCAGUGCGUUGGUCGAGAAGACACAAGCGGAAACCACCAAAAAUUUGACACAACGCGCCCAACUGGUGGGCAAGUGGAAAACUACUCUGGAAACGGCUAUAAAAAGUAUGGCAGAUGAAAUCAGCACUUUGGAAGAGGAACGAAUCCGAUUGAAGAAAUCAUUAGUUAUUUUGGGUGUUCCUGAAUCGAUAGCUAAAGAGUGUAUAGAGAAGCGUGCAGGACGACCCGAUACCGAAUUAGUUCGAGACUCGCCUGAGGAAGAGCUUAUUAAUGAAUUGGCGCUGAUUGCAGAGAUCCGUCAGCAGCUUAAAAAAACAUUGGAAGAUUUUGAGCAACAGCAGGUAGAAAAUCGUACGGCAAGACAACGUCUUGAAUAUGAUUGGAGCGACAAAAAGGAAGCCUAUGAAAUUGAUACAAUUAACGUGGGACUUAAUAACUUCUCGAAAACAAUAAUGUUUCGGCCAGGUGCAAUACGCCAGCCACCUGAACAAGCAUCCGAACAAUAUUGGGAGCAUUUCAGUAAGGAAACACUGGAGGAAUGUGAGAAGUGUCGACAAAAAUCUGUCAAAUUACGACAAACACUCAAUUCUAUUUUGAUGAAUGCUGCGCGUGAUAUACGCAACCAGGCAGAUGUGGUGGAACGUGCAUUUAUUGCACGCAUAAAUUGCACUCAAGAAAAUCUACAACGAUUUGAAAAUGAGCUGCGCGAUUGCCUCCAAAAGCUGGCCGAUACUGAGACACGUAUUGUUCAAUUGCAUCGUGCGGUUCGAAGCUUUGAUGCAGCUAUGAAGGUGGCUCAGACCCGCAUGGAUAAUCGUAGCUACCGGCCUAAUGUUGAGAAUUGUCGUGAUUUUGCACAGCAAGACCUCAUCGACGAGGUGGCAACAAUACAAAGCGGUGUCACAGCUAUGUUGGCUGAGUUGGAUGCGGCAGAAAAUAUAAAAACAGGCCUAAUGCAAACACGUAGCACUCUGGAACGCGAAAUCAUGUUAAAACGACGAACAUUGUGGUUGGAUCGUGACCGUUGCAUGUUGCUACGCUCCCAUUAUCCAUCAGCUAGUGCAUUAAGUGGGUUCGCCAGCAUGUAAAUUUGAAAUGAAUUGAAUUUCUAAAAUCAUCAUAUAUAACAAGAAGUAGACAUAUUUGUUCACGACAAAGCUGGAUUUAUACCAAUUGAUGAAAUAUACUGAUUUAUUCUUUGGUGGAGAAAUGCUUGGCGUGUAGUACAUAUCACUAUGUAGUGGUAAAGCAAUUUAUAACUUGAUUUGUUCGCGAUUUUCGUAUCUCCAAGUGUGCCAUAGCAAAAUUCAGCGAAGGUCGCUUAAAUAUUAUUGGAAUGUGCGCUAUGAGAAUCGCGAAUUGUUGACUUUGUAUGCACUUCUAAUCAAUUUUUUUAAAGAAACCUGAAAGACAAGUUUUCAGUUAUCACUGCUUAGCCCUGACCGUUCUUUUGAAGUUCAAAAUUUAUUUAAAUGGCUACUGAACGCUGUACAAUGCACUAUGGCCGAAAUUGCGAUUUUAGCGGCAAAAAGUCAAUUUUUCAAAUUUAAAUUUUUGCAAUUAUUUUGAUGGUGUUCAAUACCCAACAUAUUGAUAAGAAUAAAUUAAAAAAAAAAAUUACUGUUGGCAACCCUGUUAAUGUACAAACAGCUGGUAAUGUUUACAAAUUUUUUAGUACGUGUUAAUACAAGUGAAGCAGCAAAAUUUUUAUAAAAUUAAAAACUGUUUUUUAAUAAUAUAUUCUUGUAAAAAAAACUUUGUAAAUAUGAGUUCUAUUACUCGAGAAACACUCAGGUUCAAAAAUUCUGAACUAUUUGAGUUUUGGUUGAGAAACAACAGGAAUGUUUCGAAUUACAUAAAAGGAAAGAUUUCAUACGAAAUUGACAGUGAAUUAAUUAAAUUGAUAUAUACUAAAGCCCGGAACUUAUCUAAUUUUAUUAAACUUAAAUGGAAUAAACAAUCCAGAAAUGAGAAUGCAUUUAGAAAAUGUAAUAAGAAAUGGUUGAGUGGAGAAACAAUUUUUGUAAUACCGAAAAAGAUUAAUACUAUUGGGCGACCAAAACUGACGUAUGAUGAUAGCUGCGAAAGAAAUAAAAGGAGAUUAGCUUCCGAAUUAGCUUCCCAGCAAGGAAACAAUGCGCAAUUAUUAGUUCAUGCUGCCUCUAUAUCUGCCAAAAAAUCCCACGCAACGGAUUUGAAAUUUGUCCUACAGUAAGUUGCUACAUCUCCAAAUCGCCCAUCCAAAAUUCGAGAAGUUCUUAAUACUAGCCAUAAAGAAGUUACGCCAGUAUCACCUGAUGAAGCUCUAAUGUUUGUGUUAGAAAACGGAUUAACUAAAAAGGUGUACUCAAAUAUGCGGCAAUUAAACAUAAAACACAAUUGUAGUAUUUAUCCGACUUAUGAUAAAGUUUAUGAAAGCAAAUUGAAAUGUAGACCGGAUGAAAUCAAAGCGAAUGAAAGCUCUGUCGAAGUGUCGUUGCAAAAUUUGUUAGACCACACAGCUAAAAGAAUUCUUGAAUAUCAAGAUGAAGUAUUGUGUACAACGAAGAUUAAGAUUAGUCCAUAAGCAUUUACAACUUCUUUAAAAUUAUAAAUUUAUGAAUUAAAAAAUAAAUUAAUUUCUUGGUAGCA